ensembl:lncRNA
CUGGAACCCCAGGAAAUAAUAAAUUGGCAGGGCAAGUAGCCGUCCACCUGAGAAUCUCUUAGAGUGUCAGAGAUCUCUUAGAAUGUCUACUGUGACACCUGUCUGGAGGCCGUUUCUCUCCAGUCACUGUGUGUGUGUGCGAGCGCGCGCGCGUGUGCGUGUGCGUGUGCUGGUGGAAGGGGAUUUAGAGGACAGCAGGGUUGUGUGGGUGGAUAGGGGAUACCAGCCUAAGGGUACCAAGGUUAGGAUACCUUUCCACUGCCUGGAUAUGGCUGGAUGGCCCUGGGACCUGAUGGUAGAGCAGGGUCUUGGAGACAGCCCCUGACACCAGCUUCUCUAGGUGGUGGAUACAACUGCAGCACAAGUGAAAGCCAAGCAAGGAGUACUGGAGAGAGAGUCUAGAGACCAGCGUAAAAGUUUAUUCAAAUAGGCUGAUUAAGCUCCAACUGUCCUGCUGAGAAGAGAUGGAAGGGAGCAAUGGUAGAAGCAUGGGAGGUCUGCAACAAAUUAGUUGAGAGACACUGCUGACUGGACCCAGGGUGGAGGUGGUGAGAAGUGGUUAGCUUCUGGAUGUAUUGCCAGAUUCUGGAGUUAAAAGAUGGCCAAAAGACUGGGUGAACGAGGACUUUCUUUAUGUUUGAGAGAAACCAAGACUCAUCCCAGGCAAUCAAACUAAGGCCCAGGAAGGAAAACUGAAGUCCAGUUAGAUAUCCUCUGCAGUCAAAGUCUAUGGAUCGAGCACAUUACACAGUCAUGGUGAUAGCAGAUGUGUCCCUAAAAGGCCUUGGCUGUCUUUGGGCCAUUGUGGUCCUACUGAAAAAAGGGCUCAUCCUCAAAGGCUGUGAAAAAAUUAAAAACAGAAUUGGAGCUGAAUAAACUGGUUUGAAGAGCUGGGACAUUGCAAUUAGCCAGCCAAUUUUUGUGUAGAUAUAGCUUCAUUAUGAAAUCUGACUGGGCUUGACUCUGGAUAAUUCAACCUUAAGGUACAAACAACCUGGACCAUUUUGUGGAAGACCUUGAAUGAUUUCCAAGCAGGAAAUGGAAGCCUAAAGAGUCAGAGAGUAAACAAAUUCAGGUUUUCACUUUUGGGUGACCUUGAUUAGCACACAACAACAUAACAACUGCUGUCCCUGGAAAUCCACCCUCUCCCUGGCUCAAUGAGUUUGAUCCAUUCUUCUCUGCCUGGAGGGACCUCUGCAAGAUAUCUCAGGGGUCAGAGGAGCCAAAUGCUCAUUCUGUAGAUGAGAAAGUGGAUAUUUAGAGUCUGCAUGAACAGCAUCUAUUACUCUUUAAUAUUUUUCUCUCAGUCCCAACACUGUGCUCCAUUUUCUUCAAGCAAGAGCUAUGGAGGGAAUGUCCAACCAUUUUCACAUUUCCA